AUGGAAGAACCAGAGCUCACUCUGAUGAGCUCCAAUGACAUCAGUAUUGCAGAGUCAGACGCUGAACAUCCUAACAGAGAGAAAAUGGAGGAGGGUAAAAUCAAUAACCCAGCGUGUGUGGAUCAGUCUGAGUUAAAUGCAGAGACAGAAUUUUUACUGCUGGCUCCAGAUGCAGAUUAUUCAGUGUGUGGGAGACCUGAUGGCUCUUCCAAAGCCCGGAGUCCCGAUGACAGUCACGUCCCAUCACAUCAGACAGCAGUGAUGCUGCUGGAGUUCACGGCUACACCAGGAAGUCUGCAAGAAUCCUUUUUAAAAAGAAAGAAGGACUUCAUCCAGAAAUCUCUGAAAAGAGUAGAAGAAAUAAAAAACAAAGAGAGAGAAAAUGAAAAACCAGAAGCCAGGCAGUUUCAAAGAGGAAAGUCUGAGAAGUUGAGCAGGCAAAAGGGGUCUUUGCUUACCUCUGGUAGGUUUAUCUGGGGAAAGACAUAG
rnacentral:lncRNA from 1 species